rnacentral:rRNA from 1 species
UACGUAGGGGGCUAGCGUUGUCCGGAUUUAUUGGGCGUAAAGCGCGUGUAGGCGGCCAGGUAGGUCUGCUGUGAAAACUCGAGGCUCAACCUCGAGAUGUCGGCGGAAACCAUCUGGCUAGAGUCCGGAAGAGGAGAGUGGAAUUCCCGGUGUAGCGGUGAAAUGCGUAGAUAUCGGGAGGAACAUCAGUGGCGAAGGCGGCUAUCUGGACUAACACUGACACUGAGACACGAAAGCGUGGGGAGCGAACAGG